CUCAGUAAUUCGUUGGGCCUGAGGUUUUGAGCCCAUAUCAUUGAAGACACAUGGGAAAUAGGGGGUAUAGCGCUGGAAGGGAGUGUGCAUCAGUAAUUCGUAGAAACAACAAAGGUGAAGAUGAAGAUGCUACAGGGCUGGCUGCGACUUAAGUGAGGCAAACUUGGCUUGGUAUUGGCAUGGCAUCAUGUGGUGAAGAGAUUGGAGUGCAUCAAGAAUCAUGAAGAAGUUGAGGACCUUGGCAUACUUGAAGAACAUGAAGAAUCACCCAUGACAGAAGGCUUAGAGAUAUUUUGGAACUGCUUAGAAAUAGGUCUAGGAUAGAGGUUUGACUUUGGGCAUCUGUUGGAUCAAAAGUCGACAGUUGAACAAAAAGUCAACCAUAAGUCAAAUGUAAAUUUUCUUUGUAAUUUCCAAAUCGGAUACCUUUGUAAUGUCUUUGCACACUUGAAUUAAGGCUUUUGAGUUUUUUAA